rnacentral:tRNA from 1 species
AAGGGAGACCUAAUUCAGGUAGGAGACGAAAAAAAAGUAGUCGCUACCAAGAAUCAAUCCCAAAAGGUCGGAGCGAGGCGAAAUUGGCUUUCAAACUAGGUUCUGGGUUCACACAAGACCUGAAUCAGGAACAAGGGCUAUUAGCUCAGGUGGUUAGAGCGCACCCCUGAUAAGGGUGAGGUCCCUGGUUCGAGUCCAGGAUGGCCCACCUGUACAGGUGGCAAAAAGAAAGAAAAGAAGCGAGGAAUCAGCACCUUAUCUUACUGACAUAGUAAGAGAGAAUGCUGGCUCUGAGUAAAGAGUCCAGAGGAACCCUGAAAACUGCAUAGAGCUAGGUGAAAAAGCCAAAAAAGAAGACCGCAA